rnacentral:rRNA from 1 species
AAUGAACGCUGGCGGCGUGCCUAACACAUGCAAGUCGUACGAGAAAGGGGCUUCGGCCCUGAGUAGAGUGGCGCACGGGUGAGUAACGCGUGGGUAAUCUACCCUUGGAUUUGGGAUAACUCUGCGAAAGUGGAGCUAAUACCGGAUAGUCUGGCUUUAAAUAAGAAGUCGGUAAAGGAUGCCUCUGCAUAUGCAUUCGUCCGAGGAUGAGCCCGCGUCUCAUUAGCUAGUUGGUAGGGUAAUGGCCUACCAAGGCAACGAUGAGUAGCUGGUCUGAGAGGAUGAUCAGCCACACUGGAACUGAAACACGGUCCAGACUCCUACGGGAGGCAGCAGUGGGGAAUAUUGCGCAAUGGGCGAAAGCCUGACGCAGCAACGCCGUGUGAGGGAUGAAGGCUUUCGGGUCGUAAACCUCUGUCGGAAGGGAAGAACGGGCAUUGGUCUAAUAGGCCUUUGUUUUGACGGUACCUUUUGAGGAAGCACCGGCUAACUCCGUGCCAGCAGCCGCGGUAAUACGGAGGGUGCAAGCGUUAUUCGGAAUUACUGGGCGUAAAGCGCACGUAGGCGGCCUUGUAAGUCAGGGGUGAAAUCCCACGGCUCAACCGUGGAACUGCCUUUGAAACUGCAGGGCUUGAAUCCUGGAGAGGGUGGCGGAAUUCCUGGUGUAGGAGUGAAAUCCGUAGAUAUCAGGAGGAACACCGGUGGCGAAGGCGGCCACCUGGACAGGUAUUGACGCUGAGGUGCGAAAGCGUGGGGAGCAAACA